rnacentral:rRNA from 1 species
CCUACGGGUGGCUGCAGUCGAGGAUCUUCGGCAAUGGGCGCAAGCCUGACCGAGCGACGCCGCGUGCGGGAUGAAGGCCUUCGGGUUGUAAACCGCUGUCAGUGGGGAGGAAAUGCCGGUGGGUUCUCCCACCGGUUUGACCUAUCCGCAGAGGAAGCAAGGGCUAAGUUCGUGCCAGCAGCCGCGGUAAGACGAGCCUUGCAAACGUUAUUCGGAAUUACUGGGCUUAAAGGGUGCGUAGGCUGUGCAGAAAGUUGGGUGUGAAAUCCCCCGGCUCAACCGGGGAAUGGCAUUCAAAACUACUGCGCUAGAGGAAGACAGAGGUCAGCGGAACUUCGGGUGGAGCGGUGAAAUGCGUUGAUAUCCGAAGGAACACCGGUGGCGAAAGCGGCUGACUGGGUCUUUUCUGACGCUGAUGCACGAAAGCUAGGGUAGCGAAC